UGGGGGAUAUUGCACAAUGGGCGAAAGCCUGAUGCAGCGACGCCGCGUGGGUGAUGAAGGCUUUCGGGUUGUAAACCUCUUUCGCUAUCGAACAAGGCCCGCUUAGGGUGGGUUGAGGGUAGGUGGAGAAGAAGCGCCGGCUAACUACGUGCCAGCAGCCGCGGUAAUACGUAGGGCGCGAGCGUUGUCCGGAAUUAUUGGGCGUAAAGGGCUUGUAGGCGGCUUGUUGCGCCUGCUGUGAAAACGCGGGGCUUAACUUCGCGCGUGCAGUGGGUACGGGCAGGCUUGAGUGUGGUAGGGGUGACUGGAAUUCCAGGUGUAGCGGUGGAAUGCGCAGAUAUCUGGAGGAACACCGAUGGCGAAGGCAGGGCACUGGGCCAUUACUGACGCUGAGGAGCGAAAGCAUGGGUAGCGAACAGG
rnacentral:rRNA from 1 species